UUUUAUUUUUUACAAAUUGCAAUAUUUAUCUACAGCGCGCCUUUAGCGACACGUCAACAGAUCUUAAGCAAGGCGAUUGGAUGGUUUUUACUGCAAUGCAUCUUGGGAGUCGUAGUAAAUGUAUCUUUCAACUCACGGUCCUGCAGCGAAGUUUUCGACUGGACACGAGGCAGAUCCUAGCUAAAAAUGACAAAGCCAAAAACCAAACCAUGCCCUUCCUGUCAGGCCCCAAACACCUGCAACAGGAAGACAUGCAGUGGAUGCCUGGGCAGCCUGAACCUAAAGGAGGGAUUGAAAAAAAAACAAGAACAGUUUAAAAACAGUAACUGGGCUGCCUCUGUUAAAAAAAACAGAAAUGCGAGCAGGGUGGUUAAUUCAGCCCAGUUGUCAGUUUCAAAGCUACAUGCCCUGGGCUACCAACCAAUUCUGUUUCUUGGACAGUUUGACCGUAAGGGCCG